rnacentral:rRNA from 1 species
GUGGGUACUCUUUUAAAAGAGUGCUUAAGGUACGUGCUAAUCCCUCGGGCUAACCGAGCAUCUACAAUAAGACCCGACAGGUCAAGGUGUGGAUGGAUUUGAAACCUUUGGUUUCAAAUUGGUAGACUUGUAACAAGUCAAUUGAAAUGCUGUGAUGCCCUUAGAUGUUCUGGGCCGCACGCGCGCUACACUGACAGAGCCAGCGAGUUUAUAACCUUGGCCGAAAGGUCUGGGUAAUCUUGUGAAAC